GGUAGUGUUCCUCCCUCUUCCAGGAGUUCUUGUUACCAUGACAACGCCGUGCGCUGAGCGGCUGGCUCAGGAGAUUAUGUCAUCGAAGCGUGCAGGCCCAGCGAUGCUGCCCAGUCCCUGCGACGGAGCCGGUCCCUCGCAGUGAUACCAGAGUGGUUACAGAGUUUCCAAAGACGAAGUGCAGAUUGCCAAGGAAGCAGUAGUUUAUUUGGGACUUGAGAUCUUCUGUGGACAUCGACAACUCAGCAAGGAACGGAAAGAAGCCAUCUGCCAACUUCCAGAGCCCCACACCAUGAGAGAAAUGCAAGCCUUUCUGGGAAUGUGCUUGUAGUGCAAAUAUGACCUGUGGAAUUUUGUACCUGAGGAUGCUCCAGAAGCAGUACACUCCCAAAACAUCAGGGAUCCUCUUCUGGAUGGAAAGCAGUGUGCCCUAGGUUACAGUGUAAGAUGUAACCACAAGCAUGUAUUCUAUUAUCAUCUUGACAAGCUGUUAAAGCAGGUGGGGCAAUGUUUGUUAUCUCCUACCAUGACUCAUCCUUGAUAAGUCCCUCUGGGAGCUAUCUCAGUUUAAUGGGCAAUCAAGAACCCACGCAUGACUCAUAGAAUUACAUCAACCCAUUGUAAAAUGCUCCACCCAGGGGGAGGAACCAAGCAUUCCCACCUUGAUAUAAUCUGGGGUUUGGAACAGUAUAAGCAGCCCUUACCUAUGGGACUCCUGGAGGAUGAGAGCUACAUCACUGGACCUUCAGGUGAAGACCAGACCCUUUUCUACAGGAUCACUGCUUCAACAGGACCACUUCAUCUAGUCUGCUACUACCACCCUGACUAACAUGGUGUCAGGCUGUAUCCUGACUCUGUUAGUGUUCUUGUACUAUUGCAUUUAUUUUAAUUUUCCUAUUAAAUUAUAAUUC